rnacentral:rRNA from 1 species
GACGAACCGUGCGAACGUUGUUCGGAUUCACUGGGCUUAAAGGGCGCGUAGGCGGAUGGCCCAGUCAGGGGUGAAAGCCCCGGCCCAACCGGGGAAGUGCCUCUGAUACUGGUCAUCUCGAGCGGGAUAGGGGCAGCUGGAACUUCCGUGGAGCGGUGAAAUGCGUAGAUAUCGGAAGGAACGCCGGUGGCGAAAGCGAGCUGCUGGAUCCCUCCUGACGCUGAGGCGCGAAAGCCAGGGGAGCCGGAACGGGAUUAAGAUACCC